GUAACUAUUCGUUCAGACCCUCGUUCCUUCGUGAUUCCUUUGUCUUCCGUUUCUAAUUGUGAACAAAACACGCGGUUUUAGGGUUUUGGAAAGCAGUUCCCUGAGAUGCGGUCGUCCUGGAGAUGCGGGUGUUGCAGAUCGGCCUCGAAGCCGUCCGUGCCGUCUCAUCACUCAACUGUGCCCCCAACUGUAUCGCCCUAACUUGAAGUCAUGACACAUAACUGCCAGUGUCGAUGAGUCUGUGCUUCCUCUUCCCACCCCAACCCAUUGUGCAGCCACUCCCAGUUGCUAGUUUCCGUUCACCGGCUCGUGCAAGUUUGUUGAGGUUGAGAAUAGUGAACACCCCUUCGAGGAGCAGCUGCUGUCACUUCCACAUCAGGCUCCUUCGAUUUGAAUAGCCACACCGCUGUCCGUCCUUCUUUCGCAACCUUGACUGUGGAACUCAAGUAUCCUUGCGUGCUAUCAGGAUAUUGGCAGCUGGAAGGAAGCGUCACCACGAAAUCCACAUCUCCGUUCAACUCAUGACAUGGAGAGUUCGUACUUUUGAUGAUAUUCUUAGCAGCACGGGUUGUUUGAACAUUAUUUAAAUGAACAUGAAGUGCGGUCCAAAGAUGCAGGUUGGUAGAGGAUAUUUUUUCCUGUAAGAAACGUUUGGAACGGUUGCCAAUGCUCUGACAAGAAGGCAGGUAUUGACAUGAUGCUUGAUUAAUCGUUCAUCCCAGGAAUGUUAAUUGAGACUUCACAAAUUGAGACUGUGUGAAGAUUGGAAAGCAUCGGGGUCUUCGAGGGUAGGUUUGGCUCGAUCCAUUCAAUCGUGAUGGUUUGACGACGCUGAUGGUAUGUGCGGGGCUCGGACAGUCACUUUCGGAGUACAGGGAAGUGAUGUAUUUUACCAUUCCGAUUGUACGAGUCUAACUGGUAGCAGCAGGAGAUUGAUUCAUUAUUCGGCAAACCAGUAAACCUGGUAGCCCCAUGUAAUGUUUCUGGUCUUCGCAAGAAUUCAGGAUGAUAAUAGAUCUCUUCUAUCCUGUUUCAUACAUGCGCUACAUCUACACAAUGUUCGAAAGCAGGCAAGUCUUCGCAGGCAUUGUGGGUGGUACACUCACUGAUGCAAAGCCGGUCAAUAACUGGCGAUGAGAGGAUUAAGCGCGGUUAAUACUCAAGAUCUGACAUGUGUUCAAGGGAAAUCUUCUGCAAUGGUGCAGUGCAUCCACUAUGUGAGAAAAGUAUUUUUUCAACCAAAACAGCUUCUAAGGAAAUGGAUCGCUUGCCUUUUAAGGUGAAUCCCUCAGGCUGUCUUCUUGCACCGAGUUCUUACUUCUCAAUACAAUCUUAACAGAGUUGGUGGAGGUGAACACAACAACGCCAUUCGUUUCCACGAUCCAGGAAUCAGAUUUUGUGCCAUACCUCACGUUGAAGAAACACAUUCAUACUACAGAUCAGACACGGGGUUUCGUUGCGUAUCACUGUGUUUUGUGAUGUAGCUACGCUUGUUGGGGGGCAUACAUAGUUGAGGUCGUGAGGAGAAAUAAAAAGACUUCUCCGAACUCGACCCAGCUUCAUCAGUUGCUUAGAGUUUAAUCCAGCUCUUGAUUGAGUCAUUUCUGAUAUUGAACGAUCCAAGUUGAUGAGUUAAGUCAUAUCGUAAUCCAUGCCCCUCACAAAGCAACUCUCGCUAGUUUUUUUUUGUCGAGGAGUUAGCAAUAAAUUCAGGAAUAACGGACCGUAAAUAUUUUUCUUCCCGCACUUAUAAAUAUUACGGUAGUGACCUUAAAUGCACCCACCUGCUAGAACUAGGAUUGAUUAGUGUCUCCACCCUAACGAACCAUGAUCCAGGAUCAAAAGCCUAUUUAAGCCAUCUAUUCAACAUGUUUUAUUAUUAAAUUUAAUAG